AACCGCCCGGGAAUUACGAGCCCAAGCUUAAAACCCAAAGGACUUGACGGUGUCCCACCCACCUAGAGGAGCCUGUUCUAUAAUCGAUUCCCCCCGAUCUACCUCACCACUUCUAGCCUCUCAGCCUGUAUACCUCCGUCGUAAGCUUACCAUAUGAACGAUUUUCAGUGAGCUAAAAGAUUUUACAUAAAUACGUCAGGUCAAGGUGCAGCCCACGAUGUGGAAAGAAAUGGGCUACAAUUUCUAUAAUAGAACAUAACGAAAGACUACAUGCAACUCAGUCAUGAAGGCGGAUUUAGUAGUAAAAAGAAAGUAGAGAGUUCUUUUUAAUUAGGCGCUGGGACGCGUACACACCGCCCG
rnacentral:rRNA from 1 species